AAGAGUAAGGUAGUAAUCAGUAGCAAAUAAGUGCAAGCUGUCGGGGGCUUGCGGCAAUGACUUCAGGUCAUGCACGAUGAGUACCUGACAGACGGCUGUCAAUAACCAAAGGAUUGGCUCCGAUAAGAGUAAGGUAGUAACUAGCAGCAAAUAAAGCAAGCCGUCGGGGGCUCGCGGCAAUGGCCACAGGUCAUGCACGAGUUCCUGACAAUAAUGCUGUCAAUAAUUGGUUUGGACACCAGAGAGGGUCUAAAAUUCUACCAUUCUCAAUCCCAGCUAUUAAUUAAAACAAAAACGGGACAAAUCCCAUUCACGUGCAUCCGGUCGGAUACCCAUGCAAAAGCGCAUGAGUAGAAGUCCAGUCGAGCUCAUACCACUGGUUGCCGGUGGCUGAAAGUGGGUGAGACUUGAUAUGGAAUCGGCCACCUGGGUUGCGGCGGGUGGGAGUAGCAAAUAACGCUGACGCGCAUGAAUGGAUUAACGAGAUUGCCACUGUCCCUAACUACUAUCUAGCGAAACCACAGCCAAGGGAACGGGCUUGGCAAAAAUAGUGGGGAAAGAAGACGCUGUUGAACUUGACUCUAGUUUGACAUUGUGAAGAGUCAUGAGAGGUGUAGCAUAGGUGGGAGACUUCGAUCGCCAAUGAAACACCACCACUUUCAUCUAUUCUUUACUUAUUCGGUGAGAAGAAAAUUGAGCUUCGGCUCUUCUUUCUUCGUCUUAAGCAGAGCCAGCUGGUGACCUUGCGACUCUCGCCGAAGACAGUGUCAGGCGGGGAGUUUGACUGGGGCGGUAUAUCUGUCAAAUCAUAACGGUCUGUACUCGUACUGAAAGUCAAGAUCAAGCGAGCUUUUGCCCUUUUGCUCUACGAGAGGUUUCCGUCCUCUCUGAGCUAGCCUUAGGACACCUGCUUUACGAUUUGACAGAUGUACCGCCCCAGUCAAACUCCCCGUCUCAUACAGUCUUCGACGAGAGUCGCAAGGCCUCCAGAUGGCUUUGCUUAAGACAAAGAAAAAAGAGCCGAAGCUCAAUUCU
rnacentral:ncRNA from 1 species